rnacentral:piRNA from 1 species
UGGCAAUCCUUUGCUUGGUUUCCUGAC